AUACGGAAGGUCCGGGCGUUAUCCGGAUUUAUUGGGUUUAAAGGGAGCGCAGGCGGAGAUGCAAGCGUGACGUCAAAUUUCGGGGCUCAACCCCGUCUCGCGUCGCGAACUACGUCCCUUGGUUGCGGGAAGGGGAGGCGGAACUCGUGGUGUAGCGGUGAAAUGCAUAGAUAUCACGAAGAACUCCGAUCGCGAAGGCAGCCUUCCGGCCCGUCAACGACGCUCAUGCUCGAAGGUGCGGGUAUCAAACAGGAUUAGAUACCCUGGUAGUCCGCACAGUAAACGAUGGACACCCGCGGUUUGGCCUAUAUGGCUGAGCCGCCAAGCGAAAGCGUUAAGUGUCCCACCUGGGGAGUACGCCGGCAACGGUGAAACUCAAAGGAAUUGACGGGG
rnacentral:rRNA from 1 species